GACGAACGCUGGCGGCGUGCUUAAUACAUGCAAGUCAACUUGACUUUAGAUAGCAAUAUCGAAAAGUAGGGUGGCGCACGGGUGCGUAACGCGUAGGUAAUCUGCCCUGAGGUCUGACAUAACCCGUCGAAAGGCGGGCUAACAUCAGAUGAUAUAUAAUCACGACAUCGUGGAAAUAUCAAAUCUUCGGAGCCUUGGGAUGAGCCUGCGUCUGAUUAGGUAGUUGGCGGAGUAAUAGCUCACCAAGCCUACGAUCAGUAGCUGGUCUGAGAGGAUGAUCAGCCACACUGGAACUGAGACACGGUCCAGACUCCUACGGGAGGCAGCAGUAAGGAAUAUUGCUCAAUGGGGGAAACCCUGAAGCAGCAACGCCGCGUGAAGGAUGAAAUACUUUUGUAUGUAAACUUCUGUAAGAUGGGAAAAUAUUCUCCUCGGGAGAAUUGAUUGUACCAUCAGAGUAAGCCCCGGCUAACUACGUGCCAGCAG
rnacentral:rRNA from 1 species